rnacentral:rRNA from 1 species
GACGAACGCUGGCGGCGUGUUUAACCCAUGCAAGUUGAACGAGAAGAUUGAGACGGAACCUUCGGGUGAAGAUUCAGUUAGAAAGUAGCGAACGGGUGAGUAACGCGUGAAUAACCAACCCUCCACAGGGGGACAACAUCUGGAAACGGAUGCUAAUACCGCAUAAGACCACAGCAGCACAUGCUGCAGGGGUAAAAACUUUUUGUGGUGGAGGACGGAUUCGCGUUCCAUUAGCUAGUAGGUAGGGUAACGGCCUACCUAGGCAACGAUGGAUAGCCGAGCUGAGAGGCUGAUCGGCCACACUGGAACUGAGAUACGGUCCAG